CAAUGUGGUAUUGUUUAUGAGAAGUUCAUUGUGGUUCAAGGAUAAGGGACACGAAGUGCCGUAAAAGGAGAGGGCUCUCUAAAAUGGGUGAGAGCCAGAUUGUGUAAAGUGUUGCUCUUGACUGCCUUGGCAUGCUGAGGAGUCAGUAAAUACCUUUUGUUAACUUAAGGGCUUUAAUGAGGAAGAGUGAAAAAUGUUUACGUAACCAUUUUGACUUCCUGCUCAUUCCUCACAGGCUUCACCAGGUACUGCCUUCUAACGAGCUGGCCAUUUCCACAUGUCAGAUAGGACCAACUUGCCUUUUAACUACCCGUGUGAUACUUAAACACUGUUGCCGGUAUCACAGCUUUUCUUCAAAACAGGAAGCAACGAGAAUGAGGGCAUUCCAGUAGCAGGAGACAGCAUGCAUAGAGAUGCUGAUGAAGAAAGAGCCUAGCGCACGUGGGAAACUGCAAAAGUUCAGACUGGUUGGAAUGCUGGAAAUGUUGUGAAUGACAGGAGAUGAGGCUGGCGAGAAAACAGAGGUCAGAUUGUGGAAGGCUGUCAAGCCAAAGACUUUGAUUUUAUUCUUGAGAUUGAUGAGAUGUGUGUAAUCCAGGAGUGUGCAAAACAAU
rnacentral:lncRNA from 1 species